AGCCACCGCCGUUCGUUGUCGAUGGCACUAACAGCCCCUCGCAGGCUCCCUCCAUUCAUCCCCCAGCUCCCCCACGAUCUCCCUUCCCCGUAACUCCCUCUUUCUCUCACGGGUCUCCACCACCCAGAUCUGCUGCCAAAAGCCCAUCUCUCCGCCACUCCCUUUCUUCUGUGCCGAGCACUCGACACCCGCAACCCCAACUCCUCUCUCAGCCUCUCCAAACAGCCCUUGCUCAGCAUUUUUCCCACGUAUUUGGUCUUCGUGUUGGUGUCAAUUUGGCCUUGGCCAUUGCCCAGCACAACAUUCCAAAGGUUCCAGCUCAUAUUGGAAAUCUAAUUGCUGACAAGCAGUUUUAUGCUGCAGUUCCAUGUUCUGUACUUCAAACUGCAUGUUUUGUAGCCUUUUUUUCCUAUAAUCCUACUUCUGUAAGGUCAUUGUAUCUUUUAUUUGGUUUUUUUUUUUUUGGGGGGGGGG